GACGAACGCUGGCGGCGUGCCUAACACAUGCAAGUCGAGCGGAGGCAUACGAGGAGCAAUCUGAGGAUGCCUGAGCGGCGGACGGGUGAGUAACGCGUGAGCAACCUGCCUUCCACAGGGGGAUAACGUACCGAAAGGGACACUAAUACCGCAUGAGACCACGGGACCGAUGGUAGUGGGGUCAAAGUAGCAAUCCGGUGGGAGAUGGGCUCGCGUCCGAUUAGGUAGUUGGCGGGGUAACGGCCCACCAAGCCUGUGAUCGGUAGCCGGCCGGAGAGGGUGAACGGCCACAUUGGAACUGAGAGACGGUCCAAACUCCUACGGGAGGCAGCAGUGGGGAAUAUUGGGCAAUGGGGGGAACCCUGACCCAGCAACGCCGCGUGAGGGAAGAAGGUUUUCGGAUUGUAAACCUCUGUUCUUGGAGAAGAGAAGAAGACGGUAUCCAAGGAGGAAGCCCCGGCUAACUACGUGCCAGCAGCCGCGGUAACAC
rnacentral:rRNA from 1 species